rnacentral:rRNA from 1 species
CAAUAGCGUAUAUUAAAGUUGUUGCAGUUAAAAGCUCGUAGUUGGAUCUCAGGUCCCGGCUCGCGGUUCACUUCGCGGUGCUUACUGCCCGUCCGGACCUACCCGCCGGUUUUCCCUUGGUGCUCUUCAUUGAGUGUCUCGGGUGGCCGGAACGUUUACUUUGAAAAAUUAGAGUGUUCAAAGCAGGCGCUUCGCCUGAAUAAUGGUGCAUGGAAUAAUGGAAUAGGACCUCGGUUCUAUUUUGUUGGUUUUCGGAACUCGAGGUAAUGAUUAAGAGGGACAGACGGGGGCAUUCGUAUUACGGUGUUAGAGGUGAAAUUCUUGGAUCGCCGUAAGACGAACUACUGCGAAAGCAUUUGCCAAGAAUGUUUUCAUUAGUCAAGAACGAAAGUCAGAGGUUCGAAGACGAUCAGAUACCAU